rnacentral:snRNA from 1 species
GUAUUCUGGUUUCUCUUCAAAAUGAAUAAAUCUUUCGCCUUUUGCUAAAGAUUUCUGUGGAGAGAGACAGUUACGAGUUGGUAACCACGUUUUUUGACGUCUUGCUUAGGCAAGGCU